UUCCAGUUAAUAAGAAUACAGAUGACCCUUUUCUCUCUCUCUUUUCACACGCAUGCUCCCCCCUUCUUCACUAUGUUCUCUCUUUCUCUCCUCACUGUCGUCUCUCUCCUGUUUUCUGGCGAGCGUCGCCGGCCCUCGCCGCCUCCGGCGUGGCGAGGCCGGCGCCUGUCCUUCCUCCUCCUUCCUCCCUCUUUUCCCUAUAUCUAAAUCCCCAAUUCAAAAAAUCAAAAUCCUAGGGUUUCUACCUCUCUUCAUCCCCUCUGGAAUUUGUCUCUCCGGCGAAGCCUGCCGCCCCGCCGUCGUCUCUGUCACGCCGCCGCCUCUUCUGACUCAGGAAUGGGUGACUCGAGAUAGUUUGAGACGGUUUCAUUUCAUCGUGGCAGUUCAUCUACAGCCCAAGACUGCCCCUUUUAUUUUUUUGAAUUAACUGUUGUAACUAAACGUAUUCUGUAGACGUUAAAGAAAAUUGAUGUUAUCUCUGCGGUUCUUGAUUA